AUUGAACGCUGGCGGCAUGCCUUACACAUGCAAGUCGAACGGCAGCACGGGUGCUUGCACCUGGUGGCGAGUGGCGAACGGGUGAGUAAUACAUCGGAACGUACCUUAUGGGGGGGGAUAACGCAGCGAAAGCUGUGCUAAUACCGCAUACGCCCUGAGGGGGAAAGCGGGGGAUAGCAAGACCUCGCGCGAUUAGAGCGGCCGAUGCCGGAUUAGCUAGUUGGUGGGGUAAAAGCCCACCAAGGCGACGAUCAGUAGCUGGUCUGAGAGGACGAUCAGCCACACUGGGACUGAGACACGGCCCAGACUCCUACGGGAGGCAGCAGUGGGGAAUUUUGGACAAUGGGGGCAACCCUGAUCCAGCAAUGCCGCGUGAGUGAAGAAGGCCUUCGGGUUGUAAAGCUCUUUUGUCAGGGAAGAGACACCGGCUCUAACACAGUCCGGGAAUGACGGUACCUGAAGAAUAAGCACCGGCUAACUACGUGCCAGCCGCCGCAGUAA
rnacentral:rRNA from 1 species